UACGUAGGAACCGAGCGUUGUCCGGAUUUAUUGGGCGUAAAGAGCUCGUAGGCGGCCCUUCGCGUCGGAUGUGAAAGCUCAGGGCUCAACCCUGAGAGGCCAUUCGAUACGGGAGGGCUAGAGGUAGGUAGGGGAAAGUGGAAUUCCUGGUGUAGCGGUGAAAUGCGCAGAUAUCAGGAGGAACACCGGUGGCGAAGGCGGCUUUCUGGGCCUUACCUGACGCUGAGGAGCGAAAGCUGGGGGAGCGAACAGG
rnacentral:rRNA from 1 species